rnacentral:tRNA from 2 species
GCCGUCCUAGCUCAACUGGUAGAGCAGCGGUUUUGUAAACCGCAGGUUAUCGGUUCAAGCCCGAUGGACGGCU